ACUACUGAGCGGGUUGUAAUGAGAAA
rnacentral:piRNA from 1 species